rnacentral:rRNA from 1 species
CCUACGGGAGGCAGCAGUGAGGAAUAUUGGUCAAUGGGCGGGCGCCUGAACCAGCCAAGUCGCGUGAGGGACGACGGUCCUAUGGAUUGUAAACCUCUUUAGGGGGAGCAAUGCCGGGCCCGCGUGCCCGGAGGGAGAGUAUCCGCAGAAUAAGCAUCGGCUAACUACGUGCCAGCAGCAGCGGUAAUACGGGGGAUGCAAGCGUUAUCAGGUUUCAUUGGGUUUAACGGGUGGGUCGGCGGAUAUUUAAGUCAGCGUAAAAAUGUCCGAGUGUAAACCGGGCCGGCAGUUGAAGCUGGGGAUCUUGAGUGGGCGAACAGUAUGCGGAAUGCGUGGUGUAGCGGUGA